CCUGGAGUCGUCGCCUGGGAAACACCUGAGCUGUCAACCUCUGUUGAGCGUCCAACAUUUGGGUAGCAACGUAGACUUGGCUAUCGGAAUGCGACUGAGUAAAACUACACGAAACAGAGUUUAAUACGAAGAUAUUUUAAUAUUUCGAAGAGCCUGAGCAUAAGUCAGAACUAUAGAGUUAUAACAUGACUGAAGUUAGUGUUAACGUCAACAGCAUCGAGUUUAAAGAUGUGACCGUCGGGCAGGUUUAUAGGACGACAGUAACGGCUACUAAUGUCGGGAAAGCUUCAAAGAAAAUAGUGAUUGAGAAGCCACUAUUGAAGUCGUUCAGGUUCACAACAUCCAGCUCAGCAGAGGUGGUGGCUCCUGGUCUAUCUGUAAGCGGUUUACUGGAGUUCACUCCCAAAGAAGAGGAGGAGCUCAGAGACAGGCUGCUGAUCCAUGUAGAUGAUGUGGAGACCAUUAAAAUCCCAGUGCUGGGGUUUCCAAAGGUUUGUUCCCUUCUAAUGGACUCUGAUUUGGAUUUCGGCUGCAUCGCUGCAACAAGUAAGGUGAUCAGCAAACACCAUCCAAUAACCAAUGAAGGAUCAGCACCAGGCUUGUUCCAGGUUCAUUACAAUGGAGACCCUUCAGUCAGACUGUCGCCCUGCAGUGGAAUCAUAGCAGCUGGUGCCACCCAGUGGCUCAAAGUGGAAAUGCGUACAGAUGGACCCAGGCUGAUUGAUGAGAAAGCUCUGGUGAAAUUCCAGAAUCGCUCUGCUGUAGCUCUGAGAAUCAGAGCUGAGGUGGUGGACCAGCAUCUUGAGAUCUUUGACAUGCAGGGAGCUCCUCUGUCCUGUCUCUGGUUUGGACCCCUGUAUUUUGGGACAUCUUGUGUUGAGAACAUCGUUCUGAGAAACAACGCACCCCAGGCUUGUGACUGGGUCUGCCUGCUCCAGAGAACUGCUGCUGGGACCGAGGCGGGAAUAGACCUCCAGAAGAGCACAGACGCCGCCCUGCUGGAAGGAACGAAGAAGUGCAGGAGCCCAGCCACCCGGGACGUGUCUCAGGUCUUGGUUUGUGUCCCAAAACAGGGUCGCCUGGGACCAUAUGACCAAGCCCCAGUGACAGUCCGAUUCAGCCCCUUCUGCAAGAGCGCGCAUGAAGAUGAGAAGCAGGACUCCUCAGCCAGCCGGCAAGACUUCUGCCUCUUCCUCCUGUUUGAGUCGGUGGGAAGCAGACAUGGCUUCACUCACCAUACUGCUCACAGCAGUGUGGAGCUGGCAGUGACUGGAUCAGGACUGCCUGUGGCUCUGGUGCCAAGUCCCUCUCCAAGAUUUGAUUUCCUUACCUGUGUGAAAGGUCGACGUGUUGACCUGCUGUGUGUGCUGCAGAACUUCUGCCCUCGACUUCCUGUAACCUUUCGUUUCCGCAAGUUAGCACAUUUCACCAGCAAGCCCUCCUCUGGCACGAUCCCGCCCGGGCAAUGCCAGGAUGUAGUUUUGUCUUUCACUGCACGGCAGCAAGGGAGCUUCCAGAUCUUACAGAAGCUGGAUGUGUUAGGUCACGUUGUUCGGAGGGGAAGCAGCGCCCCUGAAGAUGAAGCCGGACUUGAGCUUUGCAGCUUCCACACCGUCACCCUUCACUUGUCUGCUGUCUGCUGCAUGGAGACCACACACCCCAGGCCUAAACUAAACCCUGGCCUAACCCCAGCAGUAACCAACCCAACAGGAUCUCAGCCUCACGUUCAGUUCAGCGAACUGGCUCGCUGCCGCGGGAUGGCGCAUGCUGCUGUCCUCAGCGCCGACAAAACACGACUUCACUUACAAUGCAGGGAGUGGAGGCGGGACAAAGAGGUGGAGGAAGAGGAGGGGAGGGAGUUCCUGGCUUUCCCCAAUGACCGAGCAGCGAGCAUCCGGCCUGCCUCUGCACAUCGACAGUACAGGACCAUCUUCACCGGUGUUCAGCGCUACCGCUAUGUGGACACAGACUACUCUUUUACCGAGGAAGAGGAGAAGCAGAGACGGCAGCAUCGGCAGGUUUACAAAGACUUCAUCAAACAGCUGAGACAAACACGCCUGGAGAAGAUCAGGGAAAGACAGCAGGAGGAAGUGGAGGAUGAUGUGGAUAUUGGGAUAGUUCCUGCUCAAGGGCUUGUCCCACCUUCACUCCACAUUGGCGACCUAGAGAGCAGCAAAAUCCUAGAGAUGAAGCCAAAGUGCAGCAAUGCUUUCCAAGGAAUCAAAGGCAGCUGCCCCAAAGAUAUGAUGUCCAACAUGCGACAGGUUUCAGAGGUAAUGCAUGCAGUUCCCUCUACCAGCCAGGAGGUGGCAGACUGCAACAAGACUCUGAGUGCACAGGAGCUCUACCAGGUUGAAAUAGGUCCAUUGUUGGUGGACUUUGGUGAGGUGUGUGCUCAGUCCGUGUGUGUUGAGAAGCUGCAGCUGAUCAAUCAUCUGUCAGUGUUUGUGUGGGUGCAGUUGGAGGUGCACUGCCCAGAGCUGCAGGGCUCCUCACCCCUCUCCCACGUCCUCCCACCCUGCUCCCACAACACUUUACCCCUGACAUUCCAGAGCAACAAGCUGGGUCCUUUCUACAGACCCGUGUCUUACUCUGUGAACCAGAAACACCCCGGGCAGAUACUCGUCCAGGCUCAGGUGGUCCCAGUGGCUUUGGAGGUGUCCACCACUCUGCUGGUGCUCCGCCCCACCCCGAAUGUGCUUGCCCAAUCAGGAUACAGGAGCUCAGUUACCCUUCUGAACCAGCGUAACCACCCUGCAGAGUUCACAUGGAGACCUGUCGUCACAGAGAGCGGCAUCCUGUUCUCCAUCAGACCUGCUACAGGCACAGUGGAGCCACACAGACAGCUGGACUGCGAGGUGGUGUGGCAUCCAUCCUUCUCCUCCCCUGCAGAAGGAGACUUUGACCUCUGCGUCCACGAAGGCAACACCCAACGCCUGCACUGUGUCGCCAAGGUUAGAAGCACCUGUGUCCAGCUGGCAGAGACACGACUCUCAUUUGGAUCAGUGCCUCUUGACAUGCCUUCUAUUAGAACUGCAGUCUUACACAACACUGGACAGAAUCAUGCCUACUACCAGGUGCUGGAUGUUUCCCCUCUCCCAGGCUUGCUCCUGAGUCCAUCAGAGGGCGUGGUGCCAAGCGGGGGGCAGGCUGCACUGCAGAUCCACUUCAGCCCUGACUCUGUUAUCAAGUUUGACACAAGAGUCGAGAUUGCUCUGAGGGGCAUGAAGUCCAUCGAGCUGAGAGUGGGCGGAUCAGUGGAGCCUCCAAAUGUAGACAUCAGUGUGUCACAGUUCCAGUUCCACGGCGUCCACGCAGGAUCUCGGCGGGCGAUACCAUUCACUCUGACAAACCGCUCCCCAGCUGCAGCCCGGAUCGCCUUCGACCUGUCAGAAUACGAAGACUUCUCUUUGCUUACGCCCUCUGAGAGUGAGGAAGAAGGUGUGAGUGUUGUGGAAGUUCAGGGCCACCAGACAUUAGACUGUUCUCUCGUCUUCUCCCCCACCCAGGCAGCCAGUUACGACUUCCACCUGCCCCUGAAGGUCAACGGCGUCACAUGGCCUGCUGCUUCUUUUCCUCCUCUCUCCACUCCGCCCUCCGCCCCCGCGCCCUCCUCUCUGACAGCCGGCAGCAGGCAUGUUGUCAAACCUCGUCCUCAGUCUGCCACUGUGGCGACAAAAGGGUCACAGCGCAUUCAGGCCACAGUGCUGUGUGCACCGCUAGAAAUGUCCCCAUGUGGCCUCCAGUUCAACGUGGAACCUUUGGCACCAGAGUCUGAUAUUGUCACAAAGAUGGUGGAGCUGAAAGCAGCGUGUGAAGAGAGCAUGUUUUGGCGUGGAGGCGUCAGGGAGUAUGUCAGCUGGUGGUUUGACUGCACUUCAGUAGGAUGUGAUUCAGAGCUCCGUGUGUGUUCGCUGUCUCCAUCAUCAGGCCGCCUGAGGCCCGGAGAGUCCGUCUGCUUGGUCGUCAGCAUUAGACCUGAGGCCCUCAGAGCAGUGUCCGGGAACACGACCAAACUGUCGCUGCCUCUUUACCUGGGAGACGAGGAGGGCGAGGAGGCUGGAGGACGAGGAGACGAUCAACCCUACAGAGAGCUCUCCAUCACUGUGACUCUCCAGCUUCCUCGUAUCACCAUCCACCCGCCUCAGAUCCUCCUCACACCUGUACCCCUGGACACCAACGCAAGUGCUGCAGUGACCCUACUGGCGUCAGGAUAUCCGAGUGGAACUACUAUAUCAGCUGAAGUGGAUGAGGUGAAACUGCAGGAUGGAACCACUCAGCCUGUCUCUGUCAUCUUCCCAGAGGGCAACAACAUCCCUCCCCGAAACCAGGAUCAAGAUCAGAGACGUCUGAGUGGAAUCCAGAACCAGGAGGCCAGUGAGACCUCUCUCACCUGCUGUGUGUUGUUCUUCUCUGCUGUACCUCUGUCUCUUUGCACGACUAUCACCUUCACUGACCACCUCCACAACAGAUUCAAAGUGAAGCUGUGUGCCAUCGCAGACAACAGUCAGCUGACAGUCUGGCCCUACAUGGCCCUGCACCGCUCUGAUCAGCAGAUAGUUCUCAAAACUGGAGCCACAGCGGUUGAGGCCAUCCUUCAAAGUUACCACACACCGAGUCCUGCUCCUGGUCGCAAUUCCUCCUCCUCCUCAUCGUUUGAUCACAACAGCUCCUCAAACAACACCCCGGUGUCAGACUCCUACCCAGGCAGUGACAGCGUGAGCAGCCAGGGCAGCUGCUGUCCUGAUAGAGACACCCCAACCAAUCCUGGCGUCCCAGAAUUCUGUGCUGCGAACUCAGACGAAGGGCUAUUUCACCAGACGGUGUUGUUGGCUGUGGAGAGGUGGUUUAGCCUCUUUGGGUGGCUGAGCGGGCCGCAUCCUAUCUCUGUGCCACACACACUCAGAAAAGUCGUGUCAAAAAUUCAGAUGAGUCAUUCCAGCGGACGGACCUGUCGAGUCAGUCAAAACAAAGACUCAAGGUCUGUAGUGGACAUGCUUCAUCACCUGACUGGCAAACAGAUCCCAGGGAUUUCUCGCUGUCAGACGUUUUCCAGUGAUAUACACGUGCGCACGCCUCAGCUGAUACGACAGCACGAGGCUAUGCUGGCGUUUCUAAGAGUGCAAGGAGCCCGCCUUUGUCACAUCAGACCUGAGUACUUACUGGAUCUGCAGGAGUUCAAACACUGGUGCUCCCUGCAGGCGAAUGAGGAUGAACCUGGACUGGACUACAGCAGCGUUGACUAUGAGUCUCUGAGCAAGCGAUCCUGGACUGAUGUGCUGCUCCAAAUAUACAAGGUGCUGGUUUUACGUCGAGUGCAACAAAGCGGUGCGAACAAAAUUCCGAAGCAGACCGACUUGGCUGGGAUCUUCCAAGUUCCAAGCUCACAGCCGCUGGCCAGCAACAUCUACUCAUCCUGGGAGCUCCAGGUGCUUUCUUGGCUCAACACACACUACCUGAGCAUGAGGGAGACGGUGUGGGAAAGAGGUAAUGUCCCAUCAGCACGCUGGAUCAUGAAUUUCGACCUGGACUUGACAGAUGGGCUGGUGCUCGCUGCUCUGCUUGCCGCCUACUGCCCGUACCUGAUCUGCAGCCACUUCAGACGGAUGUACACCACGACCAGCAACCUGGAGCAGAUCCUUCACAAUAACAUCAUCCUGGUCAAAGCCUUAACUGCACUUAGUCUCAACCUGGAUGUACAACCCACAGACUUGUCCGACCCAAACCCUGUACAGAUGCUCAUGCUGUGUGUCCACCUUUAUGAGAGGCUGCCUCAGUACCUGCCCCUGCACACCAUCACUCUCUCUGGAGGCCUGCACGGCACCUUCAGCAAACAGGUGCGUCUGAAAAGCCCAUCCUCUAAGCCUAUAAAAUACCAGGUGUUGCUUUUGGGAGAGGACGCACAUCUCUUCUCGCUUCCUGGUGGAUCUACCGUCACCAUUCCUCCAAAAGCGAGCACUGAAGUGACCGUCCAGUACAGCUGCUCCUUCAUGGAGCCUAAGGAGACGGCCCUGCUGCUUGUCUCCAGCCCUCCUGUCGGCCUGUGCAGCACCACACUCUGCUUUAAUGUGCGGACACACGUCAGUCACAUCAAACCCACAAAAACUGUGAAGUGCAGAUCUCCAUGCUACCAGCUGAAGGUGAUCCAAGUGCCUCUGACUAACCUUUUCAACACAGAUGCUAAGUUCAGGGUGGUGCUGGUGGAGUCUCCAUUCAACCCACUGGAGCCUGAAAAGAAAAGAGACAGCCUGGUUCAGCAGGCCUCAUCCAAGGCCAAUGGAGAGACUUCAGACACGAGCUGCAAGGAGGAGAUGGAAGGGAAACCCUCAGAUCUCAAUGGUGAAGGCAGCGAGUUCUUGAGUGCAGUGAGGAGCGUUUAUCUGAAGUCAGGCCAAGAAGACACUCUGAACAUCCACUUCCUGCCCUUCAGCCCGGGCUCCAAGUACUGCUCUGUGCUGCUGAUCUGCCCACAGGUUGGAGAUAUGGUCUACAUGGUGAAGGCCUCAGCAGAAUUGCCGCUUCCUUCUCCUGUCACUGCCAGACCAAGCUCUAAUGUCGUGUCCAUCCCUCAAAACUCUGACCCGGUCGUAUGUGUGUCAGUACUGAACCUUCGCUGCAGGGUGGGGCAGGUGUGCGAGGAGCUCCUGCAUGUGCCGCUGGUCAAUAUGGCCUGGGAACAAGCUCUGUCCAUCUGGGGUCAGCACAGCAUGAGCGCGGACGAACACAGGAGGCGGAUGCUGACGCACACUUUGCACAGCAGCACCGUCAGGGCAACCACAGCUGCUCGCAAGCUUCUUAAACAGGCUGCACAGAUGAGAGGUGUGCAAGACAGCAAAGAAGUGGAGUACAGUGUGGAGGUUUCUUUGCCGCAGUGCUUCACUUUACCCAGAACUGUGAGAAUACCUGUGAAAGAAGACACCAGCAUACCCUGGGAGAACCCUGCAGACUGCGGCUUUGUGGACAUCCCUUUCCGAUUCCAGGCGGACUCUGUCGGGCACUUUACCUGCCAGGUGGUCCUGAAGUCCUGGUGUGAUACCAGGCUCUAUAUGCUGCAAGCAGACGUUACUUCUCAGGGAGGAUCCAUCCACUUGGACUUCAGGUCGCCUGCUAACCGCUCAGUCACACAACACAUCCCACUGCACAAUGAAACCCACCAGGACUGGAGGAUGCAUGCUGAGCUGCAUGGUGAAGGAUUCUCCGGCCCGAAGGUUGUGAACGUGCCAGCAGGGACGAAAGUGAACUACCCCCUCUCCUUCCAGCCUGCAGCACAAUGCGAAGUCAUGGGCAAGCUAUCCUUCCUCAAUGACGUCGACGGCACCGAGCACGUGUUUACCCUGAGAGGAGUUCGAGACCAGCCCCUGCCUGUGGACCAUGUCGUGUUGCAUUGCCCUGUCGGAAAAACCACACACACACAGCUGGAUGUCCCCAACUACAGUCACAAGACGCGAUAUCUGAAGGUGGUGACAGACCUAUCCGUCGUAAGUGGCACCUCCUCCCUGGAGAUCAAGUCUGGUCACAACGCUCCGUACUCGCUGGCUGUGUCACCACAGAAACAAGGAAAACAGACAGGCUGUGUGUCAUUUAUAGAGGUUGAUGACGCUCAAAAAGGUGACAGGCAUGAAGCAAAUGCACAAGGAUGCUAUGAGGUGCAUUUCACCCUGGAGAUCAUUUGUGAGCCAGCGGCCCCCAUGAAGGUCAUGCAUGUGCAGUGUGCAGCUCAGAGCUCAGUUGCCAUAGAGAUCCCUGUCAGGAACCCACAAGGAGAGAUGCUGAUGCUGGAUGUGUUCCUGGAAGGAGACGACCUGAGCGGAGCCAACUUGGUUUCCAUUCCCCCGCGGGAGGCUCUCACCUACAAAGCUACGUUCUCCCCAGUUGGAGUGGGGAAGAGCACAGGCAGUGUGUUGUUCCAGUCAGAGCUGGUGGAGGAGUUCUGGUAUCAACUGGAGCUGUACGCUCUUCCUCCUCCUGUCAUCACGCUGCCACCGGCCUGCUGUCAUCUGGGCAAGUGGACCAGGCUGACGAUUCCAGUGGUGAACCCAACAUCUGACACUUUGAAGAUAACUCUGAGCAACAGUAACCCCAGAAACUACACACCGGAGAUGGAUUCAGGGAGUACACUUACUGUGCAGCCCCACUCCUCCGCCCAGCUUGGUGUCCGUUUUAGUCCUUCAUCCAUCGGAGAGGGGAAGCAUGCGGCAAAGAUCACUUUCAUGUGCCCUCAGUUGCAGGAAUGGUGUGUGUUGCUGAGUGGGCGAGGUCUUAAACCGCAGAGCCAGGAGCCUCUGAGCAUCUCUUCCCCCAUCGGCUCCAAAGCCUCCAUCAACAUUCCCUUCACAAACCCCACUGAGCUCCUGGCCGAGCUCACCAUCACACUCACAGAUGCUGAUCCUAGUGGGGGCCCUAAAUGCCACGGAGCUGCUGCACACAAGGCUUUCUGUGUCCCUCUGAGCCUCACUGAAGGUGUUCAGAUCAGUGAAGGGGCCAGUUUGGAUGUGCCUGUGGUGUUUGUGCCUAACUCCAUGGAUAUACACCAAGCCUGGCUCUGCAUCACUAUGAAGCCCAACAAAAACACCUUCAGCACGUACAGCCUGAGGUCGGAGCAGGAAUCGUCCACCAUCUGUUGGAUUUACCCUCUUCGUGGGAUUUCUGUGGACACGCCUGUGGAGAACUCACCGCUUGGCGUGCUCUUUUGUGAGGCGGGCUGCCAGCUGGAGAAGAAGGUGGAUGUACAGAUCAGUGGGUGUGUGCCAGGGAACCAAGACCGAGGAGGACGUGGAGUUUCACAGGUGACAGUGGAAGACUUCUCGUGCAAGGUUCGUUCAGAUGUUGAAUCAGAGCACUCCGACGUUCAAGACUCCCUUUCUGCCUCCAUUGAGGCGGCGAGGAGGGACCCUGAGACCGGCAUCGUAACGCUCACCCUUAAUGUAGUCUACGCUCCCCUCAGGCAAUGCAGGUGGGUGUGGCCUCUGCAUUCAUUUAUUAGAAGCUGUCUUCUUGUGCUGAGUCUUAAUGUUUGCAGUUAAAGGAUGCUGCGCGCUCUUGGAGGCGGAGGGGAAGGCCGUGCUCAUUUGCUGCUCGGCUGCUUUAGCAGAACUUGAAAUGUGUGCAGCUGUCCUAGCCGUGCACUGUGCAUCCAGCAGGAUCUGGGAAUUUCCUGUUAAUCUCAUCGCCAUGGAGCCUCAAGUUGAUGACGUCAUCCUGAUUGAAACCACAGAGCAGGGAAAGACUUCAGCUGUGGGUUUCCAUCUGACCAGCACUACCAGGAGGCCGGAGCCAUUCACUGCAGCGUUCCUGCCUGGCAGCAGCAGCAGCAGUGAGUUCACGGUGACUCCAUCCUCGGGGAUGUUGCCUCCUGUGGGUUCUGCUGGAGCUCUCAUCACUGUGUCCUUUACACCCAGCACGUACAGCAAGCACAGAGCCAGACUGACCAUUCAGGCAGCAGACAUGCAGUGGACUUAUGAGGUGAGAGGGAAAACACUCACUGACACCCCGCCACUCUGCACUACACCCGACAACGGCAGCCCUUCUGGGCCGCGUCAAUCCAGCCAGUGAUCGCCAGCGACACUUUGUUGCUCGUAACCUCCAGCUCCUCGUGUUGGCUAACUCCUCCCCUCUGAAAACCUGCAGAUAAAGCACCUCCUUGUUCUCUCAUA